rnacentral:lncRNA from 1 species
CUGCAGUGACGCGAAAGCAUUAGAAGACUGCGGCAGUACUACAGUACCAUCCGAGAGGUUAACCGAUAAGAACUGAAGGUUUUUGAGUUUUGCGAUAGAUUCAAAACUGAACUCCAUUUCUCCCAUCGAUUGCCCAUCGCCGCCUACAAUAUGCAGCUCUCGAAGGUUCACCAACUUAGCAGUGUUAACUCUGAUCCAGCUUUUACACCGUACAUACUUCAGAGUCUGAAGAUUAGUCAAAUUUUCUAUCGGUAGAGUCCCUAUUAAUUUUCCAAUUAAGUGUCUCAACUCUCGCAUCAUAUCAGUUUCAGGUGGUAGCUGUACAAUACAACGGGACAAGUCGAGAGUCUGCAGUCCCGGCAAAUUGAAAAUGGAAGAUG